GAGGAAAAGAAACCAACAGGGAUUGCCCCAGUAACGGCGAGUGAAGCGGCAACAGCUCAAAUUUGAAAUCUGGCUUUCGGGCCCGAGUUGUAAUUUGUAGAGGAUGCUUUUGGCGCGGUGCCUUCCGAGUUCCCUGGAACGGGACGCCACAGAGGGUGAGAGCCCCCUACGGUCGGACACCAAGCCUCUGUAAAGCUCCUUCGACGAGUCGAGUAGUUUGGGAAUGCUGCUCUAAAUGGGAGGUAUAUCUCUUCUAAAGCUAAAUAUAGGCCAGAGACCGAUAGCGCACAAGUAGAGUGAUCGAAAGAUGAAAAGCACUUUGAAAAGAGGGUUAAAAAGUACGUGAAAUUGUUGAAAGGGAAGGGCUUGUGACCAGACUUGUGCCGGGUUGAUCAUCCGCGGUUCUCCCGCGGUGCACUCUCCCCGGUCCAGGCCAGCGUCGGUUCUGGGAGGGGGACAAAAGCUUGGGGAACGUGGCUCCUCCGGGAGUGUUAUAGCCCCUCGCCCAAUGCCCCUGCCGGGACCGAGGUUCGCGCUCUGCAAGGACGCUG
rnacentral:rRNA from 1 species